GAAUUUUGGACAAUGGGCGAAAGCCUGAUCCAGCAAUGCCGCGUGCAGGAUGAAGGCCUUCGGGUUGUAAAGCACUUUAAGUUGGGAGGAAGGGCAGUAAGCGAAUAACUUGCUGUUUUGCAGUUACCGACAGAAUAAGAACCGGCUAACUAUGUCCCAGCAGCCGCGGUAAUACAGAGGGUGCAAGCGUUAAUCGGAAUUACAGGGUGUAAAGCGCGCGUAGGUGGUUCGUUAAGUUGGAUGUGAAAGCCCCGGGCGCAACCUGGGAACUGCAUCCAAAACUGGCGAGCUAGAGUAGGGCAGAGGGUGGUGGAAUUUCCCGUGUAGCGGUGAAAUGCGUAGAUAUAGGAAGGAACACCAGUGGCGAAGGCGACCACCUGGGCUCAUACUGACACUGAGGUGCGAAAGCGUGGGGAGCAAACAG
rnacentral:rRNA from 1 species